rnacentral:tRNA from 1 species
GGGCCUGUAGCUCAGUAGGUGAGAGCGAUCGGCUCAUAACCGAUUGGUCGCCGGUUCAAGUCCGGCCAGGCCCACCA